rnacentral:rRNA from 1 species
AGAGUUUGAUCAUGGCUCAGAACGAACGCUGGCGGCAUGCCUAACACAUGCAAGUCGAACGAGACCUUCGGGUCUAGUGGCGCACGGGUGCGUAACGCGUGGGAAUCUACCCUUAGGUUCGGAAUAACUCAGAGAAAUUUGAGCUAAUACCGGAUGAUGACGUAAGUCCAAAGAUUUAUCGCCUAAGGAUGAGCCCGCGUAGGAUUAGCUAGUUGGUGUGGUAAAAGCGCACCAAGGCGACGAUCCUUAGCUGGUCUGAGAGGAUGAUCAGCCACACUGGGACUGAGACACGGCCCAGACUCCUACGGGAGGCAGCAGUGGGGAAUAUUGGACAAUGGGCGAAAGCCUGAUCCAGCAAUGCCGCGUGAGUGAUGAAGGCCUUAGGGUUGUAAAGCUCUUUUACCCGGGAUGAUAAUGACAGUACCGGGAGAAUAAGCUCCGGCUAACUCCGUGCCAGCAGCCGCGGUAAUACGGAGGGAGCUAGCGUUGUUCGGAAUUACUGGGCGUAAAGCGUACGUAGGCGGCUUUGUAAGUAAGAGGUGAAAGCCUGGAGCUCAACUCCAGAACUGCCUUUUAGACUGCAUCGCUUGAAUCCUGGAGAGGUGAGUGGAAUUCCGAGUGUAGAGGUGAAAUUCGUAGAUAUUCGGAAGAACACCAGUGGCGAAGGCGGCUCACUGGACAGGUAUUGACGCUGAGGUACGAAAGCGUGGGGAGCAAACAGGAUUAGAUACCCCGGUAGUCC